CUCUCCUGCUGGCAGCUGUGACUCAGGCUGAGGUAGGACACACACCACAGCACUUGGGUGUGUGGCUGCAAACCAGGUCUUCUUCAGCUGCCAGCCAGUGCCUCAGGCAGUGCUCAGGGCCACAGGCACUGCACUUUCCUCUGUACCUCCUCAGUGUGCAGGAAGAAAGAGGCAUCAUUCGCCUCAUGUAGCAUCAGGAUGAUGUUAAAAAAGGUUGGCAUGGAAAACAGGUUUUUAGGCCUGUUUAAAAUCAAAACAAGUAAACUAAUGCCCAGUUGAGGAAGAAGCUGGUAGCAGCACUGUGGCCAGGUCGCAGGUGCCCUUGGUUAACUUCCAAUCUGCUAAGCAUCACCUGCCUUUUCACUGGUACCUUCCCAAGUUCUGGAAGGCAACCAGCAGGAACCUCAACAAGAACCUUGCUGCAACCUCUCUCUGACCAUCAGGACAUGCUUUUGGCAUCCAGGCUUUUGGGAAAGGGGACAGGGAUGAGUAGGUAGGCUACGGCAAAUUACUCCAGGGAGGGAUGUGCAACCCCGAGGGCUGCAGAAGGCACUGGGAGAACAGAACCUGUGUCACAGCUUUACUGCCAUGCACUCUUCAAUCUCUGCAGCUAAUGCAGCUCAUUGAGAACCACAGCCCAAGCCACAUCCUUCCUCCUUCCUAACCAUCAGGAUAUGCCUCCUUUUUGUGGAGCAGCGAGAAGAGACACAUGCAGAUGAUGAGAGGUGCAAGAGAGAAGAUUACUCUUUUCUGGCAACUUCACUCCUUUUCCACCUGGUGUUGGUUCCUUUCUCAAAAGCAUACUUUGAGAAGACAUGACCCCUUCCAAAAGGUGCAGGAGGCUGAGAUCUACAUUGAUAUUUAUCUAUUAUUGUUCUAUAGUGUACGUAAGUGAUGAAAACAGCUACUGACAGCCUUGCAGGUUAGGCAGAAAUAAAUUGCCUGGAACUACAGGUUCACAUCCCAGCAGUAAAAUUUCCAGUCCUUGAGAUGCAGCUAAUAUCAUAGCCAGGAGCCUGCUGACUGUUCAGAGAUUGAUGUUAAUGACCUGCUAUGCAAAAGCAUUUCUUCCAGGACAGAAUCUUAUUCCCCCCAGUGCAGCACAAACAGUUCCUGCUGCCUUCCACCCCAGAAGUGGCUGCAUGUCUGAUUCUGGCCAUGUACACAGCAGUUUGUCAUGCAUGCCAAGACUCUCCAGCAUGCAAGGCAUUACAGAAAUGUAAGACAGGAUCUGAGCUAUGACAAGCAGAGUGCAGGGCAUCAUAUUCCACUGUGCAGAAGGGGAAAUAGGGAUGCAAAAUAUGUUCUUGAGCUGAAUAAGCCAUUUCAAUAAAGUAAGGACUGAGGUGUA